rnacentral:lncRNA from 1 species
UGCUGCUCUGUUCUUGGCCAGCUGCAUGUUAAAAUUUGCUCAAUGCUGACUCUUUCAUAUGCUAUCUGGGGGAGGUCGGGGACACAUGCGCUGUGUAACACUUAUAAUAAAUUCUUGACAUACUAUUUAUUGAUUAUGUUCCAUGCAUCACAUUAUUUUAAUUGAGCAUGACAAUAGGAAAUUCAGUAAAUCAAAAAUCUGGUUAGAAUAUUGUCUUGCUGCAAGAAGUAUUUGUUAUUAAUUGACCUGCCUGGUAAAAUAAACGUAACAUGGAAAGAAAUGCACGGCAGCUAGCUAAGUAAUCAGGGGAAGUUUGGCACACUAUCCAAAAACUGACCAAGACCCAACUCUGGGUAAGACAUCUGAACACAUGCGCAGAGCGGAACGGGACGACAUGCCCCACAGCCUCUGCCUUCUGCUAAAUGUACCUCUUGCCAUUCCUCUGUAUCGGUCGAGGAUCUUGACACUACUGGGACGACUGGCGAGGACGCGCUCUCGCACUGUCCUCUCUGCGCGCUCCCGUGCCACCUUCAGUUCCAGUAGUUUCCUCCGCAAUACCAUGUUUUCUUUCUGGCUUUGAGUUAUUUCCAAACGAAACACUGCAUAGUCGUCAUCUACGAGUUUACAUAUCUCUGCCACAGCUGCAUUCGCUAGCACCUCCAUAAUGGAGGCAAUUUGAGUGUGAAAAACCAUACAGUUAGCCAUUGUUAGCUAACGUUAGCAGCUAGCGUUACCUAGAAAACAUCUAUUUUUUUAUCUAUUUUUUAAUCUAUCAACCAAAUCGUGUCUCCAACGCGAAUUAAACACUACAUGUGGUAAGUGUGUGAUGCUGUGCAGUUAAAUUAGUCAUAUUUUAAGUUCCAGUGUGUUUAUAAACGUCUAAAUAACAACAAUAAAAACGCUAUCGUGAAAAUUGUUCUUGUUGACGUCAGUGUACUUCUUUGUGUGAGUUUCCGGCAGACUAUACAAGUAUUACUGCCUUUCACAGGUCGGAGUGUGAAUGGCAC